UAGGGAAUAUUGGACAAUGGAGGCAACUCUGAUCCAGCCAUCCCGCGUGAAGGAUUAAGGCCCUCUGGGUUGUAAACUUCUUUUUUCUGGGGAUAAAAACUCGUAUUCAUAUGAGCCUGAAGGUACCAGAAGAAUAAGCACCGGCUAACUCCGUGCCAGCAGCCGCGGUAAUACGGAGGGUGCAAGCGUUAUCCGGAUUCACUGGGUUUAAAGGGUGCGUAGGCGGCUUUGUAAGUCAGUGGUGAAAGCUUAGAGCUCAACUCUAAAACUGCCAUUGAUACUGCUUAGCUUGAAUCAACUUGAGGUGGAUGGAAUGUAACAUGUAGCGGUGAAAUGCUUAGAUAUGUUACAGAACACCGAUUGCGAAGGCAGUUCACUAAAGUUGUAUUGACGCUGAGGCACGAAAGCGUGGGGAUCAAACA
rnacentral:rRNA from 1 species